rnacentral:rRNA from 1 species
UACGUAGGGGGCUAGCGUUGUCCGGAAUCAUUGGGCGUAAAGAGCGUGUAGGCGGUCCGGUAAGUCCGCUGUGAAAGUCGGGGGCUCAACCCUCGAAUGCCGGUGGAUACUGUCGGGCUAGAGUGCGGAAGAGGCGAGUGGAAUUCCUGGUGUAGCGGUGAAAUGCGCAGAUAUCAGGAGGAACACCUAUUGCGAAGGCAGCUCGCUGGGACGUAACUGACGCUGAUGCGCGACAGCGUGGGGAGCAAACGAGGAUU